AGCCAGGUUUCCAGAAGUUCCCCAGUCAUUGAGCAUUUCUGAGGCUCUUGAUGCAUAUGCCAAGUAGUUAUGGAGAAAGACACAGCAGCUUACCUCUGCAGGCAUCAUUGUGUGAAAGGAAGACCCAGGCUCUCUCACCACCCUUGAACAGAAGCCUUUUGCUAAGGUGAUAGCUACAUGUCCAAGCCUAUUGCGUGGCAUGCAUUUUGCCUUCUGCAGCCCACUAAAGGAAAUUGAAGUAUACAGAAUGCUUAUUUGGUCUACUCAGUAUCAUCCUAAAUGUAUGUACCAAUGCUUAGGAGUUUGCAGUUCACCCGCAAACCUCAGCGAUCCAAGCUCCCCUGGAUGACCAUCACUCACCAAGAAAAGAGCAAUAACAGGACCUGUUUUGCUAAUCCAGGACUGUUCUCCAGCACUAACUCUAAAUAAUCCCUUCUGCUAGAGUCCACUUUCUGGAACCUGUUGCCUCCGUUUUCAACGUUUCCCAAACUUGGUCCGUUGUGUGAGCUGGCUGAUAAAAGUUCCAGGGAGAAGACAUCUUACUCUUAUUGGAUCAUGCACAGUGCCUGAAGCAUUCUGUUGCAUGUAGAAGUCAGUAAAUUGCAGAUGUAAGAUUCAAAACCAGACUUCACAUCUACCGACUUCAGUGACCCUGAAAUUUGUUCACAGAGAGCAUUUAACAUAACUGUCUUCAUCAUCUCCUUCUCUACAUUAAAAAUUAUGGAAUAUACAGGGAGGUGUGAUGUACCCAUUAUCACAAGCAGAUGGAAUCCCUAUAGAGUCGGAUCUCAUCUACAUAUCACCUAUUAUAUGUA
rnacentral:lncRNA from 10 species